UGGUUUUCAAACAGAACGUCUUCAAGUAUACAUUCACUUAUUAUGGUGGCCUGUGUUUGCAGAGACCUCUGUGGCCAGGAGAAACGUCCAGAUGAACUUUGACCUGGUGCUCCAAAACAUCCAGCAGUAGAACAUACUGGCUGGGGAGGGAGAGUCAUUCGUCAGGGUCACGUCCAGAGGGGCACAGCUGGCCCAGCAGCACCUCCUUCCACUAAGGCUCUACAGCAAUGGCAUCCUCGUGUUCAAUGGGCCCUUCCGCUCUUACCAGGAAGCCAGCACACAGCAGUGCAUGCAAGACCUGAUGCACGGAUACUUCCCUUCUGACCUACAGGACAGGUUUGCAGAUGGAGUGCCGUUUCGGGUGUGGGUGUGCUUUGUGUGCAUGCGUGGAUUUCAAAUGUGCUUACGGUAGGAAAACGGACUACAUGGACAAUGUAUUUCGACAGGUGAGAGGAGGAGUUCCAAGCGAGGCGACCGUGGGCGGAGUUCCCUGGGAUGGGGCAGGCUGUUGUUGGAUGCACAGAGGGGGAGAAAUCAACAGACAGACUAGAACACGUGUACUGUGCCGUCUCCCAGAUACCCGGUUGGUCCCCUCUGUAUCGCUUCAAUUUGUUCCUGAAAACAUGUGCUACACUUUACACUCUAGUUGAACCAACUGCAGGGGUGGAAUCUCAAUUGUGUUUUUUGGAUUCCUCGACUCCUCUCUCCUUGUCUCCUCCUGAAGAUGCAUGAGAUGGGAAGAAACCUUGGAUCUUCUUUGAGGAGGCGAGGGGAGGGGACGCAAGGAAUCAGUGAAAUAAUUGAAUGUCAUACUUGAAGUUGGUUCAACUAUAUGCAUGUCACUUGAGAUUCACCCCAAGACUAUUUUGCUCUGACUUGAACAUUGAGUUAGCCACAGGCAGAACACUGACAUUGGACCAAUUGCUGAACAGGCUGCCCAAAGUGUUGGUGAAGGCUGGUAGAGUGAUUGACAUCAGGGACUCAGUGAAAGCCAGUCUACAGGGCUCUUCUGAUGCUCCAAACAGCCAUGCGGUGACCCUCAUAGACACACCAGUGCUACAGGCCUUGAAAGAG